AAGGAUUGGUAAGUUAUCGCUCCCAUUGGGAGAGGAAAGUCCGGACUUCACAGGCAGCGCAAGGGGUAACGCCCCUCCACCGUAAGGUGAGGACCAGUGGAACAGAGAGAAUGUCCAGAGCUAUGAUCCUUAGGCUGGGAACGGGAAGUCUAAGGGGAGUUGCUGGAGUGAAAACAGCUAAACUCUGCGCGAAGCAAGAUCAAAUAGGGAAGGGUUUGAGUGUGCCUGCACGAACCUUCCGGGUUGAUCGCUUAAGGGUGUCAGUAAUGCCACUCUCAGAUGAAUGAUAACUCACGACAGAAUCCGGCUUAUCGCCGAUCCUCGUGG
rnacentral:RNase_P_RNA from 1 species